rnacentral:lncRNA from 1 species
CGAGGGGCGGCGCGGGGCUCCUCUCGCGCCUCGGGCUCGCGGCUUUUGCCGCUUUCAGCAGAAAUCCGCCGCUCUUGAGCGGCUGCGGGGCGGGCGGCCGCCGCGCCACUCCCCGCCGCUGGGCGUGCGGCGUGAGGGGGAGGCCGGGGCGGCUGGGCAGGGAGAGGGCCGCUUUCGUGCGAGCGGUGAGGCUGUUCGUAAGGGGACGGAGCGUAACGCUCACCGAGCGAGGGAAGCGUGCUGCCGGGGGGGCGUCUUAGGCGGCGGUCGCUUUGCGCCUUCCCCGCUCCUCGUGACUGAGGUAUCUGCGCGCUGCCGGCUUCGAGCGCCCGCCGGGCGGCUGCGGGGCCUCAGCUGGCACAGACUGGUGCGGGGCCCUGACACACCUCGUCCUACGUGUCCGGCCCUGACUGAUGGGAGGACGCGAGGCGGCAAAACUCAUCAGUGUUAAUUAAUUCCUGGUAUGUUGUCUUUCUUGGUGAUGAAGACAAAUUGCCUUUUCCAAGACUGAGUCCGUCCGUGUUAACAAUUACAGAAGCCCCGCUUGAAGAACGCUGCUGAGAAUAAAGCUGUUAUCCCAGCCCGGGGCUGCGCUGAGGCCCGUGUUUUCCGAGCUGCUGAUGGGCGGCACUGCCGGUGUUUUAAAAAACAGUAAGCACUGCACCCUCAUUCCCAGCCAAAACGGGGAGGAAAAGUGGGAAGUGAAGCUGCUCCACAGCAACAGGGACAGACUGGGCAGAGGGCGUUUCUUCAAGUAAAGGGUCUUCCCUAUCCGUAAACACGUGUGUGGGUGCGGGCUUUGACCCCCGGCUUCAUGCUCCUUCCCACCAAAGAGCUCAGCACGGGCUGGGGCCGGCUCAGAAGGAUGCCCGUUUCUCACACUGCACCUCGGGAGCUGUUGGUUGUCUCGAGCGGGGCUAUCUCCAGCGCUUCCAUCCUCGCAGAAGAGCUGGAUGUGAAUAAUAAAUUGCUCUUUCUCAUAAAUACACCCACAAAGGUGGCAAUGCGCAUGUUGGCAGGGAGAGGAGAGGGAAGGUUAGCGCAGUGAGUGCUGCUGAAGGUCCUCCGGGCAGUCGUUACCGAUUCCAGGCAUGCCUCAAGCUGGCACAGCGAUGCCUUUCUGGGACACCUUGAAGAACAGAGGACUCAUCUAAGGUGGUCAUAUCUGGAUGCACUGACCUUACUCCUGGCAGAUAGCCACUCUCCUUACUCUGGCUCAACCAUGCUGCCCAUCAGAGAGCAAUGCAAUCUCACGUGGAGGAGAAGCACUACCAUCACACAGCUGGGCUUAAGGGCACUGAGGUCUGCACAUAGAGGAAAGUACCAGCUGCUUCUGUCUCUGACAUCACUUCUUCUCCAUGGCAACGCAGAAAGACAUCACUGGGUGUUUGACAGAGGAGUC